rnacentral:rRNA from 1 species
AUCAACAUGAGAGUUUGAUCCUGGCUCAGAACGAACGCUGGCGGCAGGCCUAACACAUGCAA